rnacentral:rRNA from 1 species
UACGGAGGAUGCAAGCGUUAUCCGGAUUUAUUGGGUUUAAAGGGUGCGUAGGCGGGGCAACAAGUCAGUGGUGAAAUCUUUCGGCUUAACCGAAAAACUUCCAUUGAAACUGUUGUCCUUGAGUAUACUUGGAGUGGGCGGAAUGUGUCAUGUAGCGGUGAAAUGCUUAGAUAUGACACAGAACACCAAUCGCGAAGGCAGCUCACUAAAUUAUAACUGACGCUGAAGCACGAAAGCGUGGGGAUCAAACAGG